CCCCUAAUCAGAAUAUAAGAAAAAUUAAGCCGUAACCCUGCUGUGUCACCCUCGUCUCCUGAGCGCACUCUGUCCAGGAGUCACUCAGCAAGGAUAACAGACAGACUCCCACCAGGAAUGGAGCAGCUCGUGGAGGUGGCGCAGGCUGCUUGCUCUUCCUGCUAGUAUAACUCAGUUUGGUGCGGCCGCAUUCAUCACACAACAAUAGUAACUCGCUUCCACCUGGAUCAUUUGAAUUCUGAUUUUGCUGCAUGCUUCCAUCUGGAUUACCUCAGCAAACUUUAAACGCUAGAGAAAAGACUGUGCAAACAUGGGAGUUCACAACCUCUGAGGACGUUUUAUUUCACAACCCCGAGGAGCAGGCAGAUGUUUCAUGGAGAGCUUCCUGAGAGCACGUCUCUGUUACCCUCUGGAAUUCAGUCUGGAUAGAAAAUAGGAUGAAAACUGAUUUUGUUUUUUCAGGAUCGCAGAUGGUGUUGGUGUGGAAGACAUCUGUGGCACAGGGCAGAGAAGACAUGAUUGGCUUCCUCUUAAAGUCAGGGCCAAGGAUGUGCAAAAAAGAUCUAAGGAUGCCACGAGGAAUUCCAGCUCUGUCUGGCGCGCAUUCAGGGCAGGGUGACCAAUCACAACAGAUCCGGAGGCCAUCCACUGGGGACCCAGGGACACACUGAGUACCCGGUGAUCCAAGGUUUUCGUAUGUUUUUUUGGCAGAACCUGGAAUGAAGAAUAGAUGUGAUAAAUUGUGCUGUAUCAGGUCUGAUUCAGAGGGGCCCUGGGAUUCUGCCUUUCCCACAAGAUCCCAGCUGAUGCUGCUGGUCCACUCACCGCAGGGUGAGAAGCAAGGGCUGCAAGACCCUGGAGGCCUACACCCACUCCUCGCUUAAUCACCAGUUGAGUCAAAGCUUUUCCUUUCCUGGACAUUUCUUCUGUUUUACGUGCUCUCUGGCUACAGCCAUAUCAUUUUGCAGAAUCAACCGUGUCAUGUGGUAGGAAACCUUUGUCAGUCCUGUGGGUUUGCAUGGCCUUGGAAACAUUCCGUAAUCGAGAAGUGUUAAAC
rnacentral:lncRNA from 1 species